CUCCGGGGAAAUCUGUGCUGAAGGUCAAUGCACUGUUCUGAGGGAAGUCUCAGGGUACUGGGACUGGGAAAGAGAAUGAACCUUUAUUGAACACUCACUGAGCAUCAGUACUGCGCUAAGCUCUGCUGGUACAAAGGUGGCUUCAGGACAGCUACAAAUUCUGCAGGGCUCAGCGCAAGAUAAAAAUGACCUGCACCUUGUUCAAAAGGGAAGAAUGAGGGGGAUGGAGAGAAGCCAGGAGUGUUAUAAUAAUUGAGCUCCUUUCACAAGGAAGAAAACAACCAGAAUGAGAAGAUGAGGUCUCCCAAACACCACCAAGGGCUCUGUGAACGCCAAGGAGGAAUAUAUCUGCCAAGAAGGACUUCUCAUGGUUAACUGGGCUUAAAUUCAUAACCAGAGUCUAGCGGCCAUUGCUAACAGAAGUCUCUCACACACUCUGCCACAGACUGAGAUUUCAACUUCUUGUACUAUGCUCCUGCCAUCUGAAUCAACUAUUAUAAGGAAGUUCCUGUUUUCAUCUUUCAACCAAUGAAGUGAGACCUGCCCCGUCCAAUCAGAACUGUACAAUUAUAUUGUCAUUUGCAUCUAAAAUGACCAAUCAGAACUGCUCUAUAACGACCAAUCAGAAUGCACAACACUGACCAGUACUGUACUGAUUAGAAAACCUCAUUUGCAUAAAAGUAGGCCAAUCAGUAACCUGGGUGGGAACUUUCUCUAUAGAAGGUGGCCUCCCCUUUGUCUCUGGGGAGUGAGUGCACUUUCAAUUUUCCACCAAAGGCUGCAUUUCCUUGGUUUGCAAACUG